rnacentral:rRNA from 1 species
GUUGAACGCUGGCGGCAUGCCUAACACAUGCAAGUCGAGCGGAUGAAGGGAGCUUGCGCCUGGAUUCAGCGGCGGACGGGUGAGUAAUGCCUAGGAAUCUGCCUGGUAGUUGGGGAUAACGUCCGUAAACGGGCGCUAAUACCGCAUACGUCCUGAGGGAGAAAGUGGGGGAUCUUCGGACCUCACGCGAUCAGAUGAGCCUAGUUCGUAUUAGCUAGUGGUUGGGUUAAAGCCUUACCAAGGCGACGAUCCGUAACUGGUCUGAGAGGAUGAUCAGUCAACGUGGAACUGAGAAAGGGUCAAGACUCCACGGGGAGGCAGAAGUGGGGAAUAUUGGAAAAGGGGCGAAAGCUGAUCCAGCCAUGCCGCGUGUGUGAAGAAGGUCUUCGGAUUGUAAAGCACUGUAAGUUGGGAGGAAGGGAAGUAAGUUAAUACAUUGCUGUCUUGACGUUACCAACAGAAUAAGCACCGGCUAACUUCGUG